rnacentral:lncRNA from 1 species
GUUCGCGCGCACGGCUUGCUGCGAUCAUAAUGGGACCUUUGCACGAGAUAGUUUCAAAAUCAUUUAUUGGUCCAAUUGUGUUUGUGCACAUAAUAGACAUAAUAAAUUAGACCGCUAAUGUCGCUGCAAAUCUUGUGACCAACAUCUAGUAUGCCUAUUUUUGUGAUGGUACUCAAAGUGUCAAAUUUUCAUCAACUCAAUCAUAGCAAUCAUGCAUUCGAAACCAAAAUAUACACUCAAUCAACGUUCUUACGCGAGUGAAGUGUUUUGUUACCAAAAUGGGUUUUUCAUAUACUCUCAAGAGUUGUGAUUCAACGUACAGACGAAAGUCCCGUCUGGGUGUGUCGUUCUACAGAUUCCCUACAGAUACUGUGAUGGCCGCGCAAUGGAUGGCAAGUUUAAAGCAGAAUUAUCAAGAAUUGAAACAAAAUAGAGAUACAGCUUUUCGUUCCCGACACUUUUCGAACUGCUGCUUCAAGAGUGUCGGAGGGAGACGAUUCCUUACUGCUGCGGCGAAAUUUUACAAAUAAUUGUUUUAUCUUAAGUCCUUUAGACUAUAUGGUUCCAUGUAAGCGGUUCGAGUGCGUACAAGUACUAUUUCAACAUUGGGAGUUGUAUAUGUUUUAUUAAUCACUUUUUGUUCAAUUGUAUCCUUUAAAAAAAAAUCACAUCAUUCUUCAAUUGCUAUACGAUGGAGGGGAAAAACAAGAGAUGGAGUAUCUACUCUACAAUACAAAAAUCCAACUGCUUAUCCUUCCGACGAUCACGAACGCGAAUGAUAAAGAUUGAUCAAUAAAUAUAUUUUCAACACAA